GGGGAUUUGGCUCAGUGGUAGAGCGCUUGCCUAGGAAGCGCAAGGCCCUGGGUUCAGUCCCCA
rfam:Rattus norvegicus chromosome 10, whole genome shotgun sequence.